AUUGAACGCUGGCGGCAGGCCUAACACAUGCAAGUCGAACGGUAACAGGAAGCAGCUUGCUGCUUCGCUGACGAGUGGCGGACGGGUGAGUAAUGUCUGGGAAACUGCCUGAUGGAGGGGGAUAACUACUGGAAACGGUAGCUAAUACCGCAUAACGUCGCAAGACCAAAGAGGGGGACCUUCGGGCCUCUUGCCAUCGGAUGUGCCCAGAUGGGAUUAGCUAGUAGGUGGGGUAACGGCUCACCUAGGCGACGAUCCCUAGCUGGUCUGAGAGGAUGACCAGCCACACUGGAACUGAGACACGGUCCAGACUCCUACGGGAGGCAGCAGUGGGGAAUAUUGCACAAUGGGCGCAAGCCUGAUGCAGCCAUGCCGCGUGUAUGAAGAAGGCCUUUCGGGUUGUAAAGUACUUUUCAGCGGGGAGGAAGGCGAUAAGGUUAAUAACCUUGUCGAUUGACGUUACCCCGCGAAGAAGCACCGCUAAC
rnacentral:rRNA from 1 species